GAUGAACGCUGGCGGCGUGCCUAAUACAUGCAAGUCGAGCGAACAGACGAGGAGCUUGCUCCUCUGACGUUAGCGGCGGACGGGUGAGUAACCCGUGGAUAACCUACCUAUAAGACUGGGAUAACUUCGGGAAACCGGAGCUAAUACCGGAUAAUAUAUUGAACGGCAUGGUUCAAUAGUGAAAGACGGUUUUGCUCUCACUUAUACAUGGAUCCGCGCCGCAUUAGCUAGUUGGUACGGUAACGGCUUACCAAGGCAACGAUGCGUAGCCGACCUGAGAGGGUGACCGGCCACACUGGAACUGAGACACGGUCCAGACUCCUACGGGAGGCAGCAGUAGGGAAUCUUCCGCAAUGGGCGAAAGCCUGACGGAGCAACGCCGCGUGAGUGAUGAAGGUCUUCGGAUCGUAAAACUCUGUUAUUGGGGAAGAACAAAUGUGUAAGUAACUAUGCGCGUCUUGACGGUACCUACUCAGAAAGCCCCGGCUAACUACGUG
rnacentral:rRNA from 1 species